AAAGUGGCGAACGGCUGAGUAACACGUGGGCAACCUGCCCUUUGCACUGGGAUAGCCUCGGGAAACCGAGGUUAAUACCGGAUACUCCAUAUUUGUCGCAUGGCGAAUAUGGGAAAGCUCCGGCGGCAAAGGAUGGGCCCGCGGCCUGUUAGCUAGUUGGUGGGGUAGUGGCCUACCAAGGCAAUGAUGGGUAGCCGGGUUGAGAGACCGACCGGCCAGAUUGGGACUGAGACACGGCCCAGACUCCUACGGGAGGCAGCAGNU
rnacentral:rRNA from 1 species